ensembl:lncRNA
CCUCAAAGCAAAGCACAACUUGCAUUUGCCUUUGCCCCCACAAUAGACAGUAAAUAAAGGCAGUGAUCAAACAGGGCAGGACUUAGGGGGGCUGGGACAUCGCCCUGGGGGGAGCUGCUCCCACAGCAGGCUGCACAGCUCAGCAUGCAGGCGGGUCCUGAAUACUUCCAUUGAAGGAGACCCCACACCUCCCUGGGCAGCCCAUCCCAGUGCUCCAUCACCCUCGCCAUGAAGAAGUUCCUUCACAUUUUGGUGCGGAACUUCCUGUGCUCCAGUGUGUGGCCGUUUCCCCUUGUCCUGUCCCCACAGACCACUGAGAUGAGGUUGGCCAUGUCCCUUUGUCUCCCACACUGAAUAUAUUUAUAAGCACUAAUCACAUUCUUUCUCAGUCUUCCCCAGGCCGAGCAGCUCCACGUCACGCAGCCUUCCCCCACAGGGAGAUGCUCCAGGCCUUCUCAGCUCUGUUAUCAGGAUGCCAUGGGAGAUAACACCAAAAGCCUUGCUGACAUCCACUUGCACCAAAAGCCUUGCAGAUGACAUCCACUCCUCCCCCCGCACCUACCCGGCUGGUGAUGCCAUCAUAGAAGGCUACGAGGUUGUGCAGUGGAGGAGCCCAGCCCCGUGCCGGGCAGCACUCCAUGUUCCCGGCCUGCUGCGGCGCUCAGAGCGCUGGCACAGCGCUCUGCUGGAGUUACUCAUCGCUCCCAUCAGCAGCCCUCACCCAGCGCCCAUCUGCGGCUGCAGGACAGCGCCGUUCAUCAGCGGUGUGAGUCGGAGCUGGAGUGUGUGCAGCGGGGCCUCAGCUGUGUGCCCAUCGCCGUGCAUCCCUCGCCGUGCUGCGUGUGCUGCAGGAUGGGGCUGCACACGAGCGUGCAAAGUGCUGGGUGCGUGGAAAUGGCUGGAAAAGUGCUCCCUACUCCUGCUUCAAUCAGAGGAACGGAGCAGCUGUUGGAGUGAAUGGGCCCUGCACUAAAGCAGACGUCUUAAUAUCUUUUGCAGAGGAGGAGCAGAAGGAGCUGCAGCCUGGUGAGAGAGCACAUCUCUUCCCUCGGCUCAGGAUGAGUUCUGCCUUGCAUUUUGGUGAGCUAUGGCAAGAAACGCAAUAGCACAGGAGCAAAAAUCACUGCACCUCAGGCUCAGAGCGGUUGGAAGGGACCUGUGGGGCUCCCCCAGCCCGGCCCCAUCCUGCAGGACCCGCAUGUCCCAUCAGCCAGGUUGGGAUGGGGGGAUUCAGAGCACCUGGAAACCCCAGC